GGGGGGGACAGGAGACUGGGGGGAGCAGGAUACCGAGGGGGACAGGAGACCAGGAGGGACAGGAUACCAGAGGGGAGCAGGAAACCAGGAGAAAGGGUGCAUUUCUCAGCUCGUUGGGAGCACGGAGGAGGAAGGAUGCUUGACCAAGUGCAGCCACCACGUUGGAGCGUCUACUCCGGGCCAGGCGCUGUGCCGUCGUUGGAUUCAGUCCUGACAGGACACUGGGAGGCAGGUGCCAUUCACAGCGUCCCCUGACCGCUAGGGUCCUGGAGGACCGCAGGCGGAGCACACGGCCAGAGUGGAGAAGGGGGUGUGGCCUGUGGGGGCGGAGCGCUGGGCUCCCCCCCUCCUCCACCCCCAGCACCCAGCUCAGCUACAGAACAGAUGGCCCGUGAGCCCUGCGCUCCUAGUGGUGGGAGACACAAAUCAGUAAGUUCUUAAGUCAACAAAGAACAAGUCAGGCCGGACUCACUUCAUUCUUUUCUGUGGCUUCGCCCUUUGGAGGGUUUGGGGGAGGGGCGGGGAUCUUGGGGUGAACGGGAGGGGCUCAGUGACCACAGAGGACGUCACCAUGACGUGCUGCGGGGAAAACAAGCAGCCUCCCAUCCCGGAUCUCGGGGAGGAAGCCAAUAGCCCGGAGCUGGCUGAGUUCAGUGACGAGGUCCACGGCUGACACAUUCCUGGACGUCCACGCCAGGCCGGGCCCAGCCCGUCUACACGGACUCAAUACCUCCAGAACCAGGCCUGAUGUUCUCCAGACUCUACAGCUGCGGGGACUCUAGCAGAGGACGGGGUCCCGUUUGGUGCCGGGAGUCCCCCUGCCGUGGGGAAAGGCAGCUGCUGGUGUGUGCGUGCAGGAGACGACCCCACUGUGCCCGCAGGCGCCCAUCUGUCCGCCACGCUUGGGACACGGAGUCUGUCAGACCCCAAAUGGGAUGUUGAGAGAGCCCGUGGGAUGUUCCAUCCCCGGCUGGGUUCGGGUGGCCGGGGAGGCGAUCCUGGUCACAGCCUCGCUGGCCUCUUGCAUUCUCCAGCCCCAAGAGCCAAGAAGUACGUGAAGUCUUUUCAAGUUUCUAGCUGUGCACGUGGGCCGCUCUCUUGUCCCGUGGAAGCACAGACUUUCGUGCUUGCCGCUGAGUGAAAGGCCACAUCCCGUGUGACUCCAGCCAGGUGACUGUCCCAGAAGCAAAGCCACGGGACAGUAAAAGGUCAGUGGCAGCCACGGGUUGGAGGGGACGAGGGACGAGCAGGUGAGCACUCUGUGUGAUGCCGUCACCUCACCGUACCGUUGUCCACACCCGGGGAAUGCGCGUCUCCAACAGUAAGCCCGGCACUCCAGGUAAUAAUCCGGGAACCCCGCUUUCUGGAAACUCACGCUCUGCGUUAGCACCAACUGCUUUUUUCAUAAAAGCAAAACCCCCUUUGGAUCCCCUUCAGUUAGCAAAACGGCGGGAGCAGGUCCUUCGUGAAAGCCAAGCGGCCGAACGCGAACUUUUGGAAAGCAGGGGACACUCUUCGACUGUUGCCACUUCGGCUCAAGAAAGUUUCAGAUGGGGGGGGACCUACAACGCGUCAACGUGGGCUCGUCCAUUGUCACAAGCAAACUCCGGGUGGAAAUAACGGGAGGAGGGGUGUGGGGUGUGGGGCUCUGUACUUUCCGCUCGAUUCUCCCAUAACUCAAGCUGUUCUGAAGAAUACGGUCUGUUGAGAAACUAGAAAGGUCCGUGCGCACGAGCCUAACCAGGGAGCAGGGCUGCCGUGCGCCUGACACCGCGGCUUCCUCCCAGUGUGGAGACGGUGCCCUGCUGGCCACAGCUGUUAAACACUGCUGUGCUGAUGCCGCUCAUUCUAAGUCAAGUUUUAUGAUUUCAAGGCCACUGUGCCCGGGACCCACCCUCCCUGACAACCGACCGCUCUCUCCAGGGCCCUGUUCUGUCUGCCAGACCAGGCCUCUUUAUUGUGGGGUCUCUCCCCUUUAUCACCCAGGAACGUACGGGCAUUAACUUUUAUGCUUUCAAUCCAAGACAGGCUAUAAAAUUAGGGAAGCAGGGCUGCUGUGUAGCUGAUCUGAGUCCUUCAGAGUCCCCGGGAGACUCCUGAGGGCGUCCUGCCCUCCGUGAGCAGAAGCUUCUGGAACAUUCAGAGGACGGGACACGUCCCUCUGCACAGAGAGCUCAGGGAGGGGAGAGGCCAGGGGAAGGGACCUCACGCUCCCGCCCAUCUGCUGGGGGCGGCCUCCAGCAAGCACCCCCCGGGCGGCAGGGGCCCAAGGCAGGUGGAAGGUGCCCGGAAAUCAUCCACAUGACCCCUGGCACACGCUCGGCCACAGGGGAGAACAGCCACCGCUUGUCAACGCCUACUGGGCGCUGCGCGUGUGUCUGCCCACCACAGGCCAGCGAGGAAGGCCAAGGGGGCCGGUUCUCAUUUCCCCGUGAGGAGACGGACGCUCCAGGCGCAAGCCCUCGUCCAAACACACAGCCCGUUGGUGGCGGAGGCAGGAUCUGAGGCCAGGCGGUGGCUGUGGCAAAGCCGCGCUCUCCCGUGUCACUGCGCGGUCCCCGCAGGGACACCAGGCACCAGGCCCUGGGGCGCGGAGAGGGGAGGCACGGGGACAGGAGGUGCAUCCGGACCCAGCAGAAGCCUGUGGCCCGAGAGCCUCGGACUCCUCCUGGGCCUGCGGUCUCGUGCGGCUACUGGGACUGGGGCAGGGAGGUGGAGAGGGUUCUGAAGCGCCUCAGGGCACCGGCCUGACUGCCGACCACCGCUCAGGGCAGCACCAGGACCCAGAGGGGCUGCCGGGACCUUCGAACGGAGAGAGAACAGGACUGAGAUGUGCUGGGGCCAUCACGAGCAUCCUUUUCUGCCACACAGGCUCACUAUAGAAACAAUCAUGGGGAAGAGCAUUUGUGGGUGAGACGCUGACGUGACCCGAAACCAGAGGGACCGAGGGGUCCAGGGGACUCAUUUAGACUCUAAUGCGGAGAAGUAGCACCUCCUUCCAAGAGGCCGCGAUGCUGAGAACACUGCUGCCGCUAAUACCUGGGUGUCCGUGGCACCUGCGGGACCGGCCUCCCAGGUGCAGGGCUGGAGUGGCACCCCUGCACGUGGCUCACCGUCUGCGUCGGAUAAACCAGGAUUAGACCAAGCUCCCAGCUCUCUCCGCUCCAACCACGUAGCAAUUUUAUGGAUCAGAGUUUUGUUCCUAUUUGUCUAAAGCCCAGAGGAAGAAAGAAACCAAGUCCACAGACGAACAUGUAUUUGAAGAGACAUUUCAGGACUUGGGAGACUUUUUCAUCCAUCAGUUUCUUAGGAACAGCACCCAACGGGCCCGGGGGAGGCCUGCACAGCAGGUGCACAGGCCCCGCGUCUGAGCACAUCCGGCCAUCCCCAAAGUCACCAGACUCACCCGACACACCGUCUGCGCGCCAGUCCGUGGACAGACGCUCAUCACGCUUCACCAAAGGACGGCCGCUUCUGGACAGGCUUCCAGAAAGCAGAGUCCGCCCUCGUCUUUUCCUUCCUCCCUCGCUGGGACUGCUGCGCCCGCUCUGAGUACAGUGUCGGGUCAAGGAGGUUGCCCCAACCCCCCCGGGAGCCUUCCCCAGGGGCCUCCCGCGGGAAGCACAGCCCCCAGACGGAGCCUGCGUCGAGCACGGCAGACCUCGGGGCGAAUCGGUGAGGGACAUGCUGACAGAGGAGGCAGGCAGCGCCCACAGCACAAGUCACGGGAUUGCUCCGCAGCAGGGACACAUUGGACACCUUCUCCAGGACCGCCCGGGUCCCCGGCUACCCCCUACUGUCGUGAAAACCGCCGCCAGCCUACCAGCCGCAGAGUCGAGUCCGCGAUGGAUGAUGUGAGUCACGGCCCCCAAAGCUGGAACCCCCCAGCGCCCCGGAGCUCUGUCCCCCUGAGGCCUCACCCCAGGGCGCACAGUUCACAUCCCCGAGGGGCAGGAAGAUGGUCGGACCUCUGCUGGUCAGGCAUCUUCUUCCAUCAGAGGGAUCUCUGUAAAAGGAGAGCCCGUUACCAGCUUAGCUGCAGGGAUCUGGGAACAAAAACUUUGUUGAAGUGUCUGUAAUUCCCGGUGUCAGUUCUGUGUAAACUGACCACAUAAAGCACUCAUUACAGCGUCUUUGCUGGAAAAUCUCACACCAACUCACGCAAAAUAAAGUGCUGAGACCUCAA